GGCGAGCCUGACGGAGCACGCCGCGUGAGUGAUGAAGGUCUUCGGAUCGUAAAACUCUGUUAUUAGGGAAGAACAAAUGUGUAAGUAACUAUGCACGUCUUGACGGUACCUAAUCAGAAAGCCACGGCUAACUACGUGCCAGCAGCCGCGGUAAUACGUAGGUGGCAAGCGUUAUCCGGAAUUAUUGGGCGUAAAGCGCGCGUAGGCGGUUUUUUAAGUCUGAUGUGAAAGCCCACGGCUCAACCGUGGAGGGUCAUUGGAAACUGGAAAACUUGAGUGCAGAAGAGGAAAGUGGAAUUCCAUGUGUAGCGGUGAAAUGCGCAGAGAUAUGGAGGAACACCAGUGGCGAAGGCGACUUUCUGGUCUGUAACUGACGCUGAUGUGCGAAAGCGUGGGGAUCAAACAGGAUUAGAUACC
rnacentral:rRNA from 1 species